UUGAUGGGCCUUGACGGACUAAAAACUUCAUUAAUUUUUGGGUAACAAUUAUUGUGCUUACCAAAGAAGGUCAAAGGUUACCCGUUGUUUACAUUCGUCGUCUUCGGUACAGUCGUCUUUUUCGACAGACUGUAGCGUUCUUCGUUUCUUUAAGAUCCGAUUAGGUUAAACUCUAAUGGAGUUCUGAAAUAUUGUCUGUGUCAAAUAUUUGUGUAGAUCUCUGUGUCGUUUUCCUUACUGUCUCCGACUCAUAGCCUAUAAUACGUUAUGGAAUUAAGUGGUUCAACGCCAUCAACAGCCAUCUUUACUCCUUGGACCCGCACCAUCAAUGAUAAACCUCACCUAUAAAAAGUCAGUGAGCUCGAUGUGAUUUCUGAUUAUGGGGCAAGCUAUUGACGGAUACAGUGAACAAGAUGAUGAAAUCAGAUUUCUCGGUUUGUGGUAGUCUGAUCGACGAUGUGGUAGAUCGAAUAAAUGAUAUUGUUUCCUCCAUGGAUGUGUCUGAUGAACGCAAGUCGUGUCCUUUUGUUCUGGAAAGCACACAAAAUCUCGACUCUCCAUUGAAAAUUUGUGUCUUCUAAGGAAAUGCUCCAGGUGAUGAUGUAGACAUGUGAAACCAGUCAAAGAUUCUUGCUUCCAAUUCUGUGUGGAGUCUCUGAUGCGAAAAUCAAACAGUGAGUGAAUUCAUAUUAUGUUCAACAUUCAUCUUUUGUUUUGGGUGAAGAGUUUAAUAAUGAGUAUAUGUUCUAAUAAGCUGAACACUUCAAACUCUUCUUCAGGUGGUUAUAUUAUAGAUGAAUUGAAAAUACUAUCGAUUCUGAAUUCAUGUCUUUAUCGUCAGAAAUAUGAGGAUAAAGUUGUCUCAAGGAUGGAUCACAAAGGCACCGUCAAUUGUCAACACAGUUUGAGGAUAAAUUUGGCUCGAAUAUUAUGACAAGGCUCAUUGGGUUCUUUGGUAUCUUUGAAGAAAUUCUGGUAUUGUGCCGAUGAGCAGACAAGUCGAUGCAUCAGGUCUGGAAAAUCAACAUGGGGAAUUGCCUGAGAAUGAGUUGUUUCCAAGUUUCAAGACGCUUAAGUCCAGUCAGACUUCAAAGAGAGGCUUGGGAUGCUUCCGUUGAGUUCAUUGUUAGAAAUAUGAAGGACCUUGAGAUUCUUUAAUUCCGACAAAGUCGCUGGUAAGUAGUAAUGGACCCAAGAAAUGGUUAAGUUAAGUUAGAGAUGAGUAAGGUUAUUGAUGUUGAUGAUUUAAGAAACUGGCUUUUGUUUCUCUGUAACAAAUAACUCUUUUGCUGAAGAAUAUUUGGAGAUUAAAAUUGUGCUAUAA